rnacentral:sRNA from 1 species
AACUACCGCGCGGUCCGAGCCCUGGUCAUGGAGACCUUGAAUGAAGGCCGGCUCCGGCUGGUCCUGAAGCACUACCUUCAGAGGGGAGAGGUACUCGACCCAACUGCAGCCAAUCGCAUGGAGCCGCUGUGGACAGGUGACCCUGCCCCUGGUCUCGGGUCCUGUGUCUCAGCCUCUCCCACUGCCUAGGCAUCCUGACCCCAGCUUCCCACAGGUUUCUGGCCAGCUCCGUCUCUAUCCCUAGGGGUCCCCUUACACCGCUUGGUCUCCAGGUGAGUGGCCUAGCGUCUCCCACUCGUCACCACCGCCACCCACACUCCCCGCACACACCCCUCACUCCGAUUACACACUGGCCUCCCUGGCAAGGCCCCACCUCUCUGUCCUGGGUUCUUCAUUGCUGCUGAACAGACAUGGGGUUGGUGUGGGUGUGUGAGGAAGGAAAGGGUGUAUAACAUGAAGCAGAUGUAAGAGAUGUGCUUGAUGGGUGAAGGAAGGAUGGGUAGAUGGGGAAGUUGGAUGACUGGAUACAGGAAGAAAGGAUGGAUUUGGUGUGUAUGGGUAAUGGCUGAGGGAGAGAGGAAGCGAGGGGACCUGAGUGAAGCCUGGAUCAUUUCAGUUCACUGGGUGGCUGUUCAGUGGCUGGUUGGGCAUGCCUGCCUUUGCUGUCCUCCACCCCCACUGCACUGUCCUCUCCCCCACAGUGUCUUUGAGCUGCAGCAGCUGGUUGAGGGGCACCAAGAAUCCUACCUCCUCUGCUGGGACCAGUCACGAAACCAGGUACAGGUAGUUCUGAACCAGAAGGCAGGCCCCAAGACCAUCCUAAGGGCCGCCACACAUGGGCUGAUGCUUGGGGCCCUGCAGGGAGAUGGACCCCUUCCAGCAGAGCUGGAGGAGCUGAGGAACCGGGUGCGGGCAGGUCCUAAGAAAGAGAGCUGGGUCGUCGUUAAGGAGACACACGAAGUGUUGGACAUGCUGUUCCCAAAGUUCUUGAAAGGACUGCAGGAUGCCGGCUGGAAGACCGAGAAGCACCAGCUAGAGGUGGAUGAGUGGAGGGCCACAUGGCUUCUGUCUCCCAAAAAGAAGGUCUUGUGAGCAGCCCAGACGGAGGCCCAAGCCCAGGGCAGGAACCUGGAGCAAGGACACUUUGGCCACAGCAGGACAGGGGAAAGGCAGCUUUAUUUUUCCUUAGGGCAACUGCAGUGGGUGGGCCAGGCCCUCAUGGGAAGUGACUGCCAAUCAGAUGCAGUGGGCCCCAGGCAGAGGAAGGCCGGGAGAAGGGGAGCCAGGACCUUCUCACCCCACUGCCCCUUCCCCUUUUCUGGGGAGCACCGCAGGCUCCUCACCCCCACUUCCUGUGAGGCUGUGGCUUAUGGUGUCCAACGCAGUUGGUCUUAGGCAUAGAAGCCCCAGAGGAACACGGCCACUGCCAUCAUGAGCAGGGCAUUGAGGUUGACCACACGGGCCCAGCUCGGGUCCUCGCUGAUGUCCUCCAGCCGCCUGGCUGCUGCCGCUGCCUCCUCCUGGGUAAGGGGCGGAGGACUGCCCACCCCACCUCUGCUCAUUCCACAAAACCAGAGCAGGCACUGGCGGAAGAGGCUUGGUGCCAGGGCCUGGGGCUCUGAGGGAAAUUGAGGCCCUGCAGUUAGUUUGCGGGAACUCAGCUUCUCCAGCCCCACCUCCCAGCAUGGUGCCCUACCAUUCGUCUCCAUGGCACUCUCUGGGCACCCAUUCUGUACAGGGAAUGAGGAGCCUUGCUGCUCAUCAGCAUCCAGGUCCUCCCGUUCCUCCUUGCUGUGCCGGAGACUGAAGACCAGGCGGUGGAGCUGGGGAGGGUGGGAGCACGAACGAGGUGGGAGUUCUGUCCCCCCAUGCCUGGCCCUAAAGUCUCUUGCACACCAGCUCGUCACUGCCUGCCCUACCCACCUCUGUCCAGUCUACACACCCAGCCCAGGCUCAACUCAUGCCAACUCCACCCUACAUGGCUGCCCUGUGCCCUCGGGAUAAACCCCAAGCCCCUGAGCUUGUGUUUAAAGCCGUUGGCCUUGCUCCCCCAGCUUUAUCAGCUCAGGUCUGUCUACACCCAGAUGGUAGCGCUUGUGACACUGGCCUGGCAGUCCUGCUCACAGUGUUCUGUGCCUGUGUGCUCCCACCCUUUCCUCCUGCUGCUGCAGAAACCCGGCCAUCCUUCCACACCCAGAUCUCUUGUCCUGUCCUCACCCCACCCUGCCACCAUCAGCCCUGCCUGGAGCCACCUGCCCUUUGGCAACAAAACCAAACCUUUUUGUGGGCGUUCAAGAUGGUAUUGUGCCCACCAGUCAGAUCCUGUGUUUUGAGUCCCAAAGGCCAUGCCAAGGAUUGGCUUUGGGAGGCUUUAAUCACCAACCCAUCAACAUCAAGCCUCCCCCAGGCCGGUUCAAAUAAAUGUAUUUAAAU